GAUCAACGCUGGCGGCGUGCCUAAUACAUGCAAGUCGAGCGAACAGACGAGGAGCUUGCUCCUCUGACGUUAGCGGCGGACGGGUGAGUAACACGUGGAUAACCUACCUAUAAGACUGGGAUAACUUCGGGAAACCGGAGCUAAUACCGGAUAAUAUAUUGAACCGCAUGGUUCAAUAGUGAAAGACGGUUUUGCUGUCACUUAUAGAUGGAUCCGCGCCGCAUUAGCUAGUUGGUAAGGUAACGGCUUACCAAGGCGACGAUGCGUAGCCGACCUGAGAGGGUGAUCGGCCACACUGGAACUGAGACACGGUCCAGACUCCUACGGGAGGCAGCAGUAGGGAAUCUUCCGCAAUGGGCGAAAGCCUGACGGAGCAACGCCGCGUGAGUGAUGAAGGUCUUCGGAUCGUAAAACUCUGUUAUUAGGGAAGAACAAAUGUGUAAGUAACUAUGCACGUCUUGACGGUACCUAAUCAGAAAGCCACGGCUAACUACGUG
rnacentral:rRNA from 1 species